AUUCUGCUCUUCCGUAACCUCUCUGGGCCUCGAUUCUCUCGUCUAUAACAGAAGGGAGUCCAUCUGUAUUGACUAACAUUCCACGUAUUAGAUUUUAUGUAUUCUUUUCUGGAGAGGAUCCAAAAUUUUAGACAGGAGGCACAUAGAAAUUGAAACCAUUGCCUGAGAUUACCUGGGGAGAAGUCUGGCAUCUUCAAUUGGAAACCAGGCAGCACAGGUUCAGAAUCCACAUUCUUUAAUGGUUAUACUACAUUGCCUCCUAUUGUUCAAAGUGCCUGAAGAGAAAGCACAACCUCGGCUAAUGUUUUCAGAUGCGUACAAGCCAGAAGGGACCGAAUGAAGAUGCUGAUGCUCUGAGAAUGCCACUCCAUUUGGAAUUCGAGGGAAUGAACCAUAACAAUCAACAGGGACACAGAACAUCCCCACAUCAAAGAGGUGAAGUUAGUCACAAGUGACAAUCCAGUGUUAAAUAAAUUGUUUUAGCUGUU